rnacentral:rRNA from 1 species
GGGGAAUUUUCCGCAAUGGGCGAAAGCCUGACGGAGCAAGACCGCGUGGGGGAUGAAGGUUUGUGGAUUGUAAACCCCUUUUGAUUGGGAAGAAUACUGACGGUACCAAUCGAAUAAGCCUCGGCUAACUCCGUGCCAGCAGCCGCGGUAAUACGGAGGAGGCAAGCGUUAUCCGGAAUUAUUGGGCGUAAAGCGUCCGUAGGUGGUUUAGUAAGUCUGCUGUUAAAGCGCGGGGCUUAACUCCGUAUCGGCAGUGGAAACUACUAGACUAGAGUGUGGUAGGGGUAGAGGGAAUUCCCAGUGUAGCGGUGAAAUGCGUAGAUAUUGGGAAGAACACCGGUGGCGAAAGCGCUCUACUGGGCCAUAACUGACACUGAUGGACGAAAGCUAGGGGAGCGAAAGGGAUUANAUACCCCUGUAGUC